UGGGAGGCUAUAAGUGGAUGGAACAGGAAGCAAGGAGGAGCUCAGAAGGAAAGCUCAGAGGGUGAGACUGGGCUGAUGAGUGAAGGCCGGUGGGAAACCCCCUCUUGGCAUGAGCCUGCAUUAUGCUGUUAUACUUUGCAAAGAAGGAAUAAAUACACACAUGGUGAAUAGGAUAACAACCACAUAUGCAUUUGUGACUGAGAGACCACAUGAACUGGCCAGGCAGUGAAGAACACUGGAUAGCAACCGAGGUGCCCUUUGACAGAUGUAAGAAAAUGUAUUCUUAUUAAUGAUUCAACAACACCACUCCUAAGGAUGCAGACAGCUCCCAAUCCACUUUUCUGGACCUACAACAGAAACAGGGAAGGAAGAAAAUCUAAGAUAACAAAGAAAUCACAGGAUUUUCAGUUCAUAGCUGGGACUGGUGUGUCCAACAGUCAAGAGAAUAAAGGAUUCCUGUACUAAACCAAAAGAGAAUUCAAACUCUAAUCCACUGAGCUGCCGUUAACAUUUUUCUCCUUCACAUUUUUACUUUAGGGAAAGAAAAAGACCUUUUUUUUCACUUGACUACUCUGUUUCAAAGACUGGCUUGUAAUCCUGGAAAAUAGUUUGGUUUCAGGUCUGAAUUUUAUUGAGAUGGCAGUGACUGGGGGUGAAGGAUAACACCAGAAAUCUGAAAGGUGCUUGGAGUGAGGCUUACUCAUUAUGCUGAUGGUAGAGACAGGUAUCUCCCACUACACAGAGAAACAACAUUUCAAACUGCUUUGCAUAUUAACACUUUGCUUUGAGAGCCUCAGCUGAAAGGCCCUAAGCACGUGACAAACUUUAUCUAUGAAAGGAUGAAUUCAUUAAUUAUCCCCAUUUCACAGAUGGGGAAACUAAGACAACAGGGUCUUGCCCAAGGUCAUCCAUCAGACACUUGGAAAGCCAGAAAUUGUGACUUCCAGGUUUGUGUCCUAACCCCUAAGACCCUUCUCUUUUGGUAAACUUUUGGAUAUCAACAUGUGAAUGGCCAGUCCCCACUAAAAGGAAAUGCACAUUGUCAAGUCUCCCUUAACAGUGAGUUACACUGUGGUCACCUGAGAGUGUUAUAUAUGAAUAAACUCAUUAUAGUUGUUUCCGAGCCCUGGACUGACUGUGUGUUCAUUUCCAUUCUGACACAACAGCUGCCCUUGUGGAAAUCUAUCCCUACCACGCAUAAAGGAAAAGUGGUUGGUGCAAAAACAUCAACCUAGAGUCUCAAUCAUGUAAGGUUUGCUAGUUAAUGUGAUAGGCAGAAUUCUGACACAAGAUUGCCAACAGGUUCUUAACAUGAGAAGAAUGUAUUCAGAAAGUCUCUCACUAUUCCUCUUUCA